rnacentral:lncRNA from 1 species
UAAUUCUCCUCUUUGCUUUUAUCUCCUGACCCACUGAGACAAAUCAGCUCAUUAAGCAGUGAUUCCCGGAGCUCAGACAGCAGGGAGAGUGCCUGGAAAGAUGGGGCAAGAAUGCGGAGCAGCUUCUCAGCCCCUUGGAGCUGACAACUUUCCCUCAAAUGUCCUGUAAGAAGGCCUCCUUAGGAGUGGACCACUAGAUGGCUUGGAAGGGGCCCCAAUAGGUUGGAGCACCCCUGGGUCGGAAAGAGGAGUUCAUGUUCAAGUCUUCUCCCAUCACUUACUGCCAGGCCCAGGAUAGAUGAAUGCUGAUGUUCAGAAUAGGCAACUGUCCUUUUCUGGGACUGGUCUCCUUCUGGGCCCAAUUCUCCAUGGGGCCUCUGGGGCUAAUUACAUUGCCGCUAGAUCAGAUCAUUUUCAAGGCUCUGGUGGACACCUCUUUCUGACAGUUGAAGGGACAGCUGGUAUAGCCCAGGGUGCCAAGGUGAGCUUGAAAACAAACCUCUCUGUGGGGCUGGAUGGCCCUAGGAGGUUCUUCCCAUCCCUGGUGAGAAGGCAAGGGCUAUUGCAAGGAGCAGACUGACAUGUGGAUGGUGUUGGAGGGCAGCCUGCUGACCCAUUGCUCCCUCCCAUCUCUCUCUGGCUCUGAUCACCCUCCCCCACUUCCCUUUCUCUUGCCUGGCUCCUUGCUCUCCCUGAGGCCCCCUCUGAAGCAGUAGGAGGGAGAUCAGGCUCUAAAUAAAUCCAACGGCUCAUCUCCCUCCUCUCCUUCCCCCGUGCCAGGCAAGAGAGGAGCUGCAGCCUGCCCACACACUCACUAGGCAAGGGGGGCACCACCAGGGCACUGUGCCAACUCCUGGCAGCUCCAAAGUACUGAAACUCUGGCUAUUUUGGCGUAGCAGGGUACAGGAAAGGUAAGACCCUAGAUCAUGCUUGGCAGGGCAGCCCUGGCCUCCCCAAGUAAUACUGGAGCACUAGAGAUGAGUGAGCCUGGAGGACUUGGGAGUAAUGGAGAGGGGGUUCCAUUCUGAGCACAACUCAUUAAAUAUUUAGGAAGAGAUCCUGUGAUUCCCAUCCCAGGGUGAGAGGUCAGGUAAGCCAGAUGCCUCAGGCGUUAUGAUUACUAAAUUAGGCCGCCAGCGGUGCCUCACACCUGUAAUCCCAGCACUUUGGGUGGCCGAGGUAGAUCACUUGAGGUCAGGAGUUGGAGACCAGCCUGGCCAAUAUGGUGAAACCCUGUGUCUACUAAAAAUAUAAAAAUUAGCCCAGCAUGGUGGCACAUGCCUGUAGUCCCAACUACUCAGGAGGCUGGGGCAGUAGAAUUGCUUGAACCCGGGAGGCAGAGGUUGCAGUGAGCCGACAUCGCACCAUUACAUUCCAGCCUGGGCAUCACAGUGAAACUCCAUCUCAAAAAAAAAAAAAAAAUUACUAAAUUAAACCAGGCAUAGAGACUCAUGCCUAUAAUCCCAAUGCUUUGGGAGGCUAAGGUAGGAAGAUGGCUUAAGCCCAGGAGUUUGAGACCAGCCUAGGCAACAUAGCAAGAUCCUGUCUCUACAAAAAACUAGUAGGCAUGGUAGCGCAUGCCUGUAGUCGUAGCUACUCAGGAGACAGGAGGAUCGCUUGAGCCCAGGAGUUCAAGCCUGCAGUGAGCUACGAUUGUGCCACUACACUCCAGCCUGGGUGACAGAGCAAGACCUGUCUCUAAGUAAAUAAAU